rnacentral:rRNA from 1 species
GAGUUUGAUCAUGGCUCAGGACGAACGCUGGCGGUGUGCUUAAUAUAUGCAAGUCGAACGAUGAGGCUCCUUCGGGAGUACAUCAGUGGCGGACGGCUGAGUAAUGCAUAGGUAACGUGCCUCUCACUGGGGGUAACACUGGGAAACCGGUGCUAAUACCGCAUAAGCUGCGGGUUGAAAUACCUGUAGUUAAAGAAUUUCGGUGAGAGAUCGGCCUGUGUCGGAUUAGCUUGUUGGGCGGGGUAAUCGGCCCACCAAGGCGACGAUCCGUAGUUGGUCUGAGAGGAUGA